rnacentral:ribozyme from 2 species
AUGUUAAUGCGACCUAGUUACUGGUAACCGUAAUACCUAGUGCUAGAGGGUGGCAAGUCCCUUUAACGCAGAGUCGACAU